rnacentral:lncRNA from 1 species
AUUACUACAUAAAAAACCCUAGCCACCUCAAACUUAAAGCCUCAGAGGGCUCUACCUCCAAGCAAACCCCUCAGGGUAGGCGGCAGUGACAGUCUCUAGUGUUUAUGAGGGGGCCACUUAUCUCUUUCAGGCUCUUCCUUUAUUCCCACCAUCAUAAAGACCUCAGGGCCCUAAUCCUCAAACCAGAGUCUUCGCUUCUCUCCUUCACAUCACCUCAGCCUAAGUCACCAGCUACCUC